rnacentral:rRNA from 1 species
ACGGAAGGCAGCAGUAGGGAAUCUUCGGCAAUGGGGGCAACCCUGACGGAGCAACGCCGCGUGAGUGAAGAAGGUUUUCGGAUCGUAGAGCUCUGUUGUAAGAGAAGAACGUGUGUGAGAGUGGAAAGUUCACACAGUGACGGUAACUUACCAGAAAGGGACGGCUAACUACGUGCCAGCAGCCGCGGUAAUACGUAGAUCCCGAGCGUUGUCCGGAUUUAUUGGGCGUAAAGCGAGCGCAGGCGGUUUAAUAAGUCAGAAGUUAAAGGCAGUGGCUUAACCAUUGUUCGCUUUGGAAACUGUUAGACUUGAGUGCAGAAGGGGAGAGUGGAAUUCCAUGUGUAGCGGUGAAAUGCGUAGAUAUAUGGAGGAACACCGGUGGCGAAAGCGGCUCUCUGGUCUGUAACUGACGCUGAGGCUCGAAAGCGUGGGGAGCAAACAGGAUUAGAUACCCUGGUA